CUGCUUUAUCUGUAUCGAACAACGAAUCGAUUUCAAGAAAAGAAAAAGAAAAUUCAAUUAUUCAACAAGAAAACAGAAACCAACUAAUUAAUAAUUAUCUCUAAUUAACAUUUAUCAGUUCAUUGAGCUGGAAAUUAUUAGCUAUCAUCAUGAUCAUAAUCAUAAUUAACCACAAAAACUUUAAAUCACAACCCUCAUUUAACAUUAUUGUUUAAAAGUUGCAAACAAAAAAAACUGGAUCGAUCUGUUAAUACCUGUUGAUAAUAUUACCACCAAGGUAUUGGAAUCAACAAGUUUUCAAAAGGUCAAUACUUAACUACUCCCCAAAGGUAUACAACUUUUUACCUCUCGGUGUGGUCAGUCCUCUUAAGCCACCCAACUAAACAACCACCACAUAAAAAAGGGAACCUUUUAUUAUCACAAAAUUGACCAUAACAAUUAUUGAUUAAAAACUAUUGAUGAUCAAAUGACCAGGUAUCAUUAUCAAUAUGGGGAUUAAACGGACAUCGAGAUAAUCAAUAUCAUUGUUAUUAUUAUUAUUAUGUGAGAGCAACAAAGCGAAAGCUAAACCAACUCAAAGAAGAAGAAAAAGAAGAAAAAAUUAUCUCAAUUCUUUGAAAGAAUAAAAAUAAAAAGAAUGUAAAAAUUAUCAUCAUGAUGACCACGAGAAAAGGUAAGACAUGAAAGGAGCAAAGAUAAAGGUAAAGGAAAAGAAACACUUCGCCACCAACAACAAAUACAGCGCUCAGGUAAAAGUGACUUACGUUGAGCCCUGUAUUUAUUUUGUAUUAUUAGCUUCUCGGUAUAUACUCUUGUUGUUGUUGUCAUGGUCAAGCAGGUAAGAAAGGAAAGGUAAAAAGGGAGAGGAAGAGAGAGAGAGAUAAGUAAAACAUGGCCGACUGGGUGAAAAUUUUAUUUUCUUUUCAGGUUCGCAAAUUGCACAGCUAACGAUUAUCUGUGUUAAGCUUCAUCUUCAUCCUUAUUCAUAUUAUAGCCUGUAUACUUAUUACUCUCUCUCUCUCUCUCUCUCUCUCUCUUGCUCUUUCUUUUUUUCUGUCUCUCUUUCUUUGACUAACUAACAACAUCAAUAACAAAGAUGCUGCUUAGUGGGUGAAGAAGAGGAAAAUUUGAAAGGAGAGAAAGAGAAAAAGAAAGAGAGGAUAUGAAAGAGAGGCCACCCUGUAAAUACCUCACCUAUGACCCCCGUUGAGUAAAGAGUAUCUCUUUCAUUUCUCUCUUUCUUUUCAUCAUCAUCAUCUUCGCCCUAAGUCUCCUAUUGAGACCCAACAAAGAUGAUAACUUUUCUCUUUCUUUCUCCUAUCUUGUAAUCCCAUCACGACCAUUAGUGAGUGAUACCCUGUACUUACACUAGCUGCUCUCUUUUUACCUUUCUUCAUCUCUCUCUCUCUCUCUCUCUCUCUCUCUCUCUCUAUCAUCUUCUUUCAAUAUCUUUUUUUCACCUUGUGUGGUUUUCUUCAAGUGGGCUGCUCUCUUUUCUUCCUUCCUUCCUCUCCCUCUCUGACUCCUCUUUCUCUCUCAUCGGCAUCAUCAUCACCAUCACCAUUAUCAUCAUCAUCUUUCUCUCUCCUAUUUAACUUUUACGUUGUUGCUCAAAACUUGUUUCUUAACUUUUUCUGUUUCUUGUUUUUUUUUCUGUAACUCGGUUUUCUCAAGUAAUUGUCAAUAAUAAUAAAAAAAGUGGGCUCUCUCUCUCUCUCUCUCUCUACCUUUACCUUUACCUUCACCUUAUUUUAGAGGGAGAGAACAGAAAGAAAGAGAGAAAAUGUUUUCUCUUUCUCUCUUCCAUCCUCAUCAUCUUCAUUCUCAUCUCCUUCAUCCUAAUAUAUUUUUACAGUCACCAAACAAAAUCUCAACAUUUUUUUGGUUCAUUUUUCUUGGAGACAAAUAAAAGGUCCACUUCACAUUGAUUAUCAUUAUUACCUGAAUGUAAAUCAAUGAAUUGUAUAUAACUUAGUUGUUUUUUAUUAUUAUUAUUGUUGAUUGUUGUUAUUUGGUACUUUUAUUUACCAUUCAGCUUUAAUUGUUUGUUGAUUAUUACUAUUAUCAUCAUAAUAAUCAUCAUUAUACUUGGACCUUUCGCUUUCGCUUUCGAUCAUGAUGAUGAGAUGAGAAAUUGAAGAUAUUUUUACCUUUUUUUUUCUUACUCUAUGAGAAAUCUAAUGGAUAUUUAAUUUAUUAUUAAGCUUUUGGUAAAUGUUUCCCUUGAUUGUGAUUAUGAUUAACAAACAAUCAACAAGAAGAAGAAGAAAAAAAUGAUAUUAUCGGUAAAGUGUAAUUUGAAGAUGUUGUUUGUUGAUUUUGUUUAAUUUAAUUUAAUGUACUUUUCUUGUUGAUUGUUGAUUGUUGUACCUUUGCAAAUUAAAAAAAAAGGUAAAAAGUUAAUCAAUGUGAGAACAGGAAACUAAUAACAAUCAAUGAUAUAACUUAUUAUUAUGAUUUAGUAUUUGAUUAACUAGUAUCAGAUUAUAUUUAUCAAUAUUAGCAUAUAGAAUUUAAGAAAAAAAACUUUUUCUUAAUUGUUAUCAAGUUUUCUCUCUCUCUCUCUCUCUCUCUCUCUUUUCCUAUUCUCUCAUUGGUAAUAUUUGAUUUCCAGACAAAGAAUCAAUAUAAUCAAUCAAUCAAUCUUAUUAAUGAUGAUACUAAAUUACAACAAUCAUAUAAUAAUAGAAACAAUUUGAAAAAGAAAUGAACAUUUUUCCAAAAAAAAAGUGACAUUCGCUUUGUCUUUGUACUGGUCAAGCCAAAAGAAAAUGUUUUUAUGGUCAGAAAAUAACAACAUUGAUUGUACCAUUCGGGUACAAUAAACGAUAACGAUGAUUAACGUUAAUGAUUUAAGGUGAUUAAAGGGAUUUAUGAGUUUUCUUUUUUUUCCCAACUUCGAAAAACAAAGUUACCAGACACUCAAAUUAGAAAUGUGAUAAUGAUGAUUAAUGUUAGAUUAUGAUAAUGAUUAAGGUUGUUAAUCUUACCUGAUUUAACCGAAACAUGAACAUGAUGCCUCGAUUCAUAAAGAACCCAAUCAAAUCCAGCGAUUACUGCUAAACGCGCUAAUAC